AGUGCAACUUCAUUUGGCUAUUUGUUGCACUUGAAGACUUGGUUGUUAUGCGCUGCAUUCAAUGUUUCAAAAGGCCAACAGUUGCGCCUAAUGAAUCAAAUUUUCCCUAUUGUAUUGCUUAGGCUUUGUUAACUGGUUCUGACUUGGAAUGUCAGUUUGAAGGUUUUUCAUGGCAAGUUGUGUUAUGAGCAGAAAUAUAGUUGUCAUGCUGGCAUUACUCAUUCUGCAUUCGGUAAAUCAUGCAUUUCAUGGUUUGUAACACAUUCUGACUUGGAGAAUUCAAAAGGAAUGGCCAUGGUAUCUUGCUUGUAACAUGCUAUAACUUCAUGGUUUGUUAGGCCUUCAUUCAUCAUGCAUUGCCAAAUCGCUGCAUUGUAUUGACUUGAGAUCAUGGUUUAAUCUUAUUUUGUGUUAAUGUAGGCCUUAUGGACAUGGAAUGGACAAGAGAUAUGGGGCCAAAUAUCAUCAUGGAUUCUGAAGCAAUUAGGUACAAGAAGCAAAUACAAUAUCAACAUGGCCUUGGAAGAUUGGAUUAGACUAGGAUGGGAAGUUUUAGGGGUUUAGGAUGGAAAAGAAUUUGAGUUGACUUUGGUCAAAGUUUACCAAAAAGUCAUAAGACAAAUCUGGGUCAAUUCUACACUUAAAGUGGAUCUUUCAUUGCUUUAGAAAUCACUUACACUCUCACAAGCUACAUAA